rnacentral:rRNA from 1 species
UUCCCACCGGAGCUUGCUCCACCGGGAAAAGAGGAGUGGCGAACGGGUGAGUAACACGUGGGUAACCUGCCCAUCAGAAGGGGAUAACACUUGGAAACAGGUGCUAAUACCGUAUAACAAUCGAAACCGCAUGGUUUCGUUUUGAAAGGCGCUUUACGGUGCCGCUGAUGGAUGGACCCGCGGUGCAUUAGCUAGUUGGUGAGGUAACGGCUCACCAAGGCCACGAUGCAUAGCCGACCUGAGAGGGUGAUCGGCCACAUUGGGACUGAGACACGGCCCAAACUCCUACGGGAGGCAGCAGUAGGGAAUCUUCGGCAAUGGACGAAAGUCUGACCGAGCAACGCCGCGUGAGUGAAGAAGGUUUUCGGAUCGUAAAACUCUGUUGUUAGAGAAGAACAAGGGUGAGAGUAACUGUUCACCCCUUGACGGUAUCUAACCAGAAAGCCACGGCUAACUACGUGCCAGCAGCCGCGGUAAUACGUAGGUGGCAAGCGUUGUCCGGAUUUAUUGGGCGUAAAGCGAGCGCAGGCGGUUUCUUAAGUCUGAUGUGAAAGCCCCCGGCUCAACCGGGGAGGGUCAUUGGAAACUGGGAGACUUGAGUGCAGAAGAGGAGAGUGGAAUUCCAUGUGUAGCGGUGAAAUGCGUAGAUAUAUGGAGGAACACCAGUGGCGAAGGCGGCUCUCUGGUCUGUAACUGACGCUGAGGCUCGAAAGCGUGGGGAGCAAACAGGAUUAGAUACCCUGGUAGUCCACGCCGUAAACGAUGAGUGCUAAGUGUUGGAGGGUUUCCGCCCUUCAGUGCUGCAGCUAACGCAUUAAGCACUCCGCCUGGGGAGUACGACCGCAAGGUUGAAACUCAAAGGAAUUGACGGGGGCCCGCACAAGCGGUGGAGCAUGUGGUUUAAUUCGAAGCAACGCGAAGAACCUUACCAGGUCUUGACAUCCUUUGACCACUCUAGAGAUAGAGCUUCCCCUUCGGGGGCAAAGUGACAGGUGGUGCAUGGUUGUCGUCAGCUCGUGUCGUGAGAUGUUGGGUUAAGUCCCGCAACGAGCGCAACCCUUAUUGUUAGUUGCCAUCAUUUAGUUGGGCACUCUAGCAAGACUGCCGGUGACAAACCGGA